rnacentral:lncRNA from 1 species
CUUAAAACCAUGAGCUGAUCCAGACUUGCAAAAAAACAUCACAAAAAGUAGUAAUGUUUUAAUUUAUAAACUUUUUGGUCAAAAAUGUUUUAAUUUAAAACUUAUAGAAUUCUAAUUAUACUACGAUAUCACUUUUCAAACUUACCUUUAAAGGAAGACUAUUUUCAUAAAUAACCUAAAUUUAUGAUGAAAAAAAAACUAAACUAACCCUUCUAAUCACUUAUAAAUGUUAUAGAAUUAUUAAUAGAAGUUUAUAAACCCAACUUCAUCCCU